ACGGCACCCGCGGGACGGUAGAUCAGAGCGGGGGUUGGAUUCUGCGGAACCGGGGAGAGACCGGAGCACCGGGCUACGUGUCGAUUAUGUUGCUGCAACCGAUGUUUUCAGCGUACUUGUGCACUUGAGAGUGAACUCGACCUGGCACUCCCUAUUUUCAUUUCUCCGAUGCCACCUCUCAAUUCACCAGCACCCUUCGAGCCGUGCCACCCAGUAAUCUGCCAAUUUAAUCACGGGACUAUUUACAAUGACCAGCACGACUUUGGACUGUGGGAAGAAACCCGAGCCCCUGGAGGAAACCCACGCCGUCACGGAGAGAAUGUAUGGGCAGCGGUGGGACUUGAUCCCUGCUGG